rnacentral:lncRNA from 1 species
UGUUUUUACUUUACUCUAUGGACUCGCCUCAAAUUCUUUCUUGCACAAGAACUGAGAACCCUCUCUUGGGAUCUGGAUCAGGACCCCUUUCUGGUAACAUCUUCCUGGCAAACCCCAAAGGGAUGAUACUGAGGAGACUUCUGACCCAAAGGAAAUGGACUGGAGCACCAAUUGGCUAACUUUGGGUUGGCCCCCAGUGCUAUGGUGCACUGAGCUGGGUUACUAGGGCCACUUAGGAAAAGGGAACCCAGAAGCCUAGCAUGCGGCAAAAGGGAUCAAGAAAAACUUUUUUUUAAGCUACUUGUAGCUUUUCACAAUUGAGUAAGGUAUACUCCUGUAAACAAAAUUUGGAGCACAUUCGUCUCUCUCUACCUGAUUUCUCCAGAAUUUGAAAACUAGUUGACAACUUUGUGCCCUGUCUUCCAGUUUAACAUGGAGCUUUCAGUCUGUAAUGCAGAGGAUCCUCUAGGGUAUAACUCCACAAGGCAGAAGACAAGUUUACUGUGGACAAAAAAAUGGGCUAGAAUGUCUUCAGCUUCUCAGGCCCUUAAUAGGGCUGAUGAUGGAUGACUCUACUGGAGAAAAGGAAGACAAAGAGGUUUCAGAUCAUCAAUAAAGCAGCUGACUCUCAAGAAAUGGCUGGAAAUCAUAUUUAAAGUCGAUCUUAAAUGAAUUUGAAAAAAAUGCACAUAAAGAUCGUUACCUGCCUCGUUUGGACAUAUCAGACCUAUGAAUAUUUAUGUAGAAACAAGAGCUUAUAAUUAUCA